UCCACUGCUUUGAUGACACCCACUGU
rnacentral:piRNA from 1 species